rnacentral:lncRNA from 1 species
CCUCCUUUGUAUUGGCUUUUCGAUAACUAUUCGAAAAGCUGCUCGAGCCUGAUAUUUUGAGCUUCAGUCUGAGAGUAUAAGUUUCUUUGAGCAGCUCGAAUAUUCCUUCGUGGCCCAUUUUAGUACUAGCUGAAAGGUGCUACGAACAUCAGAUAGUCUCUUCUCCAUCAAAUAAGGUGAGACAGAGAUAUUAAGAGAUUUUAUUGCUCACUUUAACAUGACCACACUUG